rnacentral:rRNA from 1 species
CGACGAUGGCUAGGGGUUCUGCAAGGAAGAUCCCCCACACUGGUACUGAGACACGGACCAGACUCCUACGGGAGGCAGCAGUGAGGAAUAUUGGUCAAUGGAGGCAACUCUGAACCAGCCAAGCCGCGUGAAGGAAGACUGUUCUAUGAAUUGUAAACUUCUUUUGUGACAGAGUAAAGAUAGCUACGCGUAGUUAUUUGCAAGUAUGUCAUGAAUAAGCAUCGGCUAACUCCGUGCCAGCAGCCGCGGUAAUACGGAGGAUGCAGGCGUUAUCCGGAUUUAUUAGGUUUAAAGGGUGUUCAGGCUGUCUGGUAAGUCAGAGGUGAAAGUCGGUUGCUUAACGAUCGAAUUGCCUUUGAAACUGUCAGACUUGAGUAUGGAUGCGGUAGGCGGAAUGUGUAGUGUAGCGGUGAAAUGCAUAGAUAUUACACAGAACACCGAUUGCGAAAGCAGCUUACCAAACCAGCACUGACGCUGAAGCACGAAAGCGUGGGUAGCGAACAGGAUUAGAUACCCUGGUAGUCCACGCAGUAAACGAUGCUCACUCGCUGUUGGCAAUAGAUCGUCAGCGGCUAAGGGAAACCGAUAAGUGAGCCACCUGGGGAGUACGAUCGCAAGAUUGAAACUCAAAGGAAUUGACGGGGGCCCGCACAAGCGGUGGAACAUGUGGUUUAAUUCGAUGAUACGCGAGGAACCUUACCUGGGCUUAAAUGUACGAUGCAUAAGUGUGAAAGCACUUUUUCCUUCGGGACUUUGUACAAGGUGCUGCAUGGUUGUCGUCAGCUCGUGCCGUGAGGUGUCGGGUUAAGUCCCAUAACGAGCGCAACCCCUAUUGUUAGUUACCAGCGCGUAAAGGCGGGGACUCUAGCGAAACUGCCGGUGUAAACCGCGAGGAAGGUGGGGAUGACGUCAAAUCAGCACGGCCCUUAUGUCCAGGGCUACACACGUGUUACAAUGGCCGGUACAGCGGGCAGCGAGGCAGCGAUGCCGAGCGAAUCUCGAAAGCCGGUCCCAGUUCGGAUUGGAGUCUGCAACCCGACUCCAUGAAGGUGGAAUCGCUAGUAAUCGCGCAUCAGCCAUGGCGCGGUGAUACGUUCCCGGGCCUUGUACACACCGCCCGUCAAGCCAUGGAAGUCUGGGGUGCCUGAAGGCCGUAACCGCGAGGAGCGGUCUAGGGUAAACAGAUGACUGGG